AAUGUGAGUAGAUCAAUAGGUACCUCUCCGGUGGGAAGGUAACGGCGCUCCAUGCAGUCAUGCCGGCCACAUGACCUCGGAGGUGUCUACGGACAACGCCGGCUCUUCGGCUUAGAAAUGGAGAUGAGCACCAACCCCAGAGUCAGACAUGACUGGACUUAACGUCAGGGGAAAACCUUUACCUUUUUACUAUAACACUAUAGUGCAAUAUUAUUAGUGCUAUUACAUGUAAUAUAUAAAAUACAAUUAUUAUAUAUUAUUAUAUUGCACUAUAUUAUUAUACCACAUCAUAAUAUGCGUUACAUUAGCAAUCUGAAAAUCCUUCGACCCCUAUUAAGCAUAACCUAACCUUCAUACUAUUAUUUUUUAAUGAUCGAUUUUUUAAAAAAACAACCUCCCUGCUGGGAACAAAAGAAAGGUUAAACGGAACCCGGAAGUUUGCAAUCAGGAAAGUAAGAGUGCUCUAUAGGGUUUUUUUUUCUAUAGUCUACAUUUCUCCUCUGGGAGGUGCCUCCGUAAGGAUCCUCUUUCGGCUCCUGAAGCGGAAGAGGGGAAGGCGGGACUUCCUGCACCGCUUGCUUCCUCGUUCCGGUUGGCGGGUUAUCUCUUCUUCCUCUUUAUGACAACGGUACCUAGUCCUGUUCUACAUCAUUAAACUGGAGCUUCUUAGCCCCUUGGGUGAGUGUGGAAUCAUUUGUUAUCUUUAAUUGGAUAUUAUCUAAAUGUCCAGUGGAAGGACUUGAGAUGAUACUAUGGGCCUGGUAGCAGAAGAGGAAGCUGAAUUAAACAUUGUGAUUUUCUGCAUGUGCCAAAGGAGGUGGUGGGGAAAAGAAAAUUCAAGUAAAGGCAGUGAAUUUCAUUAAAGGGUAUUAUUGCAUCUUACAGAUGAAUGGUGAUGGGGUGGGGGGAGUUUAAACUCAAAGAUGAUACAGUUCCAGACUGAAAUUUCUCCCUCCUGUAGUUUAAAAUAGCAGUGGUAUAACAGUGUUUUAAUUUUACCCAAGCUAAUAUAACCAGCAUUAUGAAGAAGUGUGAAAUUUCGUACUUAGCAGCUUUUGUGAAGAAAAACUAAAACCUUUUCUGUGACCUCUGUGUAUGAAGAAUUUUAGGCACUCAGGUCCCAUGACUGUCUUCAUCUGCAGGGUGCAUAGUAAAGCAUUUCUGUGUGCAGUGGAAAUGGAUCCAUUUGGCAAAUUUUAUACCUAGCAGGAGCAGACUCUUUCUUGAACUUCUUUUUUGUUACUAAAAAUGAUCACAGGGCUGAGGCAAUUCUUUUGUGUCUCAAAAGAACAUUGUCUGUUUAGGAUGGUGUGGUGAAGGGCCAUCAUCCAUCCAUUGCCUCACAACGUGCUAUAGUGUCAGUCUCUAUACCUAGAAUUAGACUGCCUUGGAAAACUUAGAAACCCCACAAGUCACUAAAAAUAUUUCCCUCUAGAAUCUGUGAUGUGAAUUUAUUAGAGCUGUCACCAGACUUAAAUGACUUAGUUGAAUAGGUAAAUGAUUAAACUUGCAAAUGAUGGUGUGGGGGAGAGGGGAUUCAGUUGGAACUAGCCUUUUUGUUCCACCACUGGGAACAGUGCUGGAGCAGUUUCUCUU
ensembl:lncRNA